rnacentral:rRNA from 1 species
CGUCUAGGCGGGCCUGUAAGUCAGGUGUGAAAUCCCUCGGCUCAACCGAGGAACUGCACUUGAUACUGUUGGUCUUGAGUUCGGAAGAGGAAAGCGGAAUUCCUGGUGUAGCGGUGAAAUGCGUAGAUAUCAGGAAGAACACCGGUGGCGAAGGCGGCUUUCUGGUCCGAUACUGACGCUGAAGCGCGAAAGUGUGGGGAGCAAACAGGAUUAGAUACCCUGGUAGUCC